GACGAACGCUGGCGGCGUGCUUAACACAUGCAAGUCGAACGGAAAGGCCCUGCUUUUGUGGGGUGCUCGAGUGGCGAACGGGUGAGUAACACGUGAGUAACCUGCCCUUGACUUUGGGAUAACUUCAGGAAACUGGGGCUAAUACCGGAUAGGAGCUCCUGCUGCAUGGUGGGGGUUGGAAAGUUUCGGCGGUUGGGGAUGGACUCGCGGCUUAUCAGCUUGUUGGGGGGGUAGUGGCUUACCAAGGCUUUGACGGGUAGUCGGCCUGAGAGGGUGACCGGCCUCAUUUUUACUGAGCUACCGCCCACACUCCUCCGGUAGGCAGCAUUGUGGAAUAUUGCACAAUGGGCGGAUGCCUGAUGCAGCAACACCGCUUGCGGGAUGAUGGCCUUCGGGUUGUAAACCGCUUUCGCCUGUGACGAAGCGUGAGUGACGGUAAUGUGUAAAGAAGCACCGGCUAACUACGUG
rnacentral:rRNA from 1 species